rnacentral:rRNA from 1 species
GACGAACGCUGGCGGCGUGCUUAAUACAUGCAAGUCAUAGGGGCUAAUUUCCUUCGGGAGAUUGGUCACUGGCGCACGGGUGCGUAACGCGUAAGUUAUCUGCCCUUGGGUCUGGCAUAACGUCGGGAAACCGGCGCUAAUUCCAGAUGAUAUCGUAAGAUCAAAGCCUUCGGGCGCCCAAGGAUGAGCUUGCGUCUGAUUAGCUUGUUGGCGGGGUAAUGGCCCACCAAGGCAACGAUCAGUAGCCGGUCUGAGAGGAUGAUCGGCCACAUUGGGACUGAGACACGGCCCAGACUCCUACGGGAGGCAGCAGUAAGGAAUAUUGCGCAAUGGACGAAAGUCUGACGCAGCAACGCCGCGUGCAGGAUGAAGGCCCUUUGGGUUGUAAACUGCUGUAGAAAGGGAAUAAUAGUUUGCCACGGGUGAACUUGAAGGUACCUUUAAGUAAGCGCCGGCUAACUACGUG